rnacentral:misc_RNA from 1 species
CAAAAAUCUAAUUUUGCAUAAGGCGCAGUAAAAUGCAAGUCUACCUUGAAACACGGAUUACAUUGCAAAUUAGUGUAGAAGUUGUUUGAAGAAAGCUGAUAACUUGGUAAACCCUGAAACCUUUUGAGAAACCUCGAGGACAUUUCUCUUAUUCUUCCAAAAAGUAAAAUGAAAAUAUUGACAAAAUGUCCUCGUUGUGGGGGCGAUCAUAUGAGACUGAAAAUGACCUGAAGAAGCUGGAUAACAAAAAUCUGGACCAAAAAUCAAGUUUACACUCGAGGGUCGUUCCAAAGAAACUUCUGGCUUGCAUCCGUGAUUAUUGCCUUGCCUGCCGCUACAAAAGUUAACCUUUCCUUUCUGCUCGUUAUUUUCAUUCUUUUGCAGUCUGCUGAAUUUGAACAAUUUAAUUGGUUGGUUUACCAUUCAGAAAGCAGCCAGAGAGGUCCCCUGCCAUGGCGCAGACGCAAUUGAUCGGAAGAACUCUAGGACAAGAGGCUAAAGGACAAGUAGGACAGAAUUGUAAGCCACACAUUUGAUCUACUUCCAUCAUUAUUGGCGAGUAAUUGAAGAAUUCCAACUUUGUGACGGUUCCGUCAUGGAAUGCCCCCACAGACAACCAGGCGGAACCCCACAAUCGGAGUUUGCAAACAACGGGAGCAUAUUGGAUGAAAUCAACAAGUAGAGAAUAGAAGGAGAACCAGGAAAAGUAAUCAGGUGGUGGCGACAAAAAGGGAAAAAAUAUGUAUUCACCUUGCACCAGAGAAGCCUCAGAAGUCUGCUUUCAUGGUUGCUGUCCAACACCAUUUUGUGGCCUGCCAGAACCCCAAACUGUGACAUCCAUAACCAGUGCUGCUGCAUCCCGCUGUGACUUUGAAAUUGCCAUGGCUUCCUCUAUAUACAGAAAUUCUCAAUUCACCAACCAUGAGUCCCUCCCCUCAUUACAUGAAUCAUUCUCCAAUUUCAUCAAAGCAUUUCCACAAUAUUCUCUGACUGAGAAGGCUGACAAAAUCCGGGAACAAGAAUACUACCAUCUUUCUCCGUCCAAACAUGUUUGCCUUGAUUAUAUUGGCCAUGGCCUCUUCUCGUACUCUCAGCAAAAGAGUCACUUUCAGGCUUCUUCAAGUGCUUCAACUUCAACUUCUCCACCACUGCAUUCUAGUACUGCUUUUGAACCGCCCUUUUUUGAUAUUUCCUACAAGUCAGUGAGCUUGAAGUCUCAGUUACAAUAUGCUGGCCCAGAAUCAGACCUGGAAAACAAGAUCCAAAAAAGAAUUACGGCCUUCAUGAAUAUAUCUGAAGAUGAUUACAACGUGGUUUUCACUGCCAAUCAGUCAUCUGCAUUCAAACUUCUUGCAGACUCUUAUCCAUUUGAAUCCCAUAGAAAUCUCCUUACGCUUUAUGACUAUGAGAACGAAGCGGUGAAAGUGAUGAUUGAAAGCUCAAAAAAGAAAGGAGCACAAGUGAGGACAGCUGAAUUCUCAUGGCCUACACUGAGAAUCCAGUCAGGAAAAUUACAGAAGAAGAUAGUUAGUAAGAAGAAGAGGAAGAGAGGGCUAUUUGUUUUCCCACUUCAGUCAAGGUUGACAGGAGCUAGGUAUUCAUAUUUCUGGAUGAGCAUGGCUCAGGAAAAUGGGUGGCAUGUCUUGCUUGAUGCAACUGCAUUCGGACCCAAGGAUAUGGAGACUUUAGGCCUCUCCCUCUUCAAGCCUGAUUUUCUUAUUUGUUCUUUUUUCAAGGUUUUCGGCGAGAAUCCAUCUGGUUUUGGGUGUCUGUUUGUGAAAAAAUCAAGUAUUUCAGUUUUAAAGGAUUCAACUAUUUCUCCGAGCAUAGGUAUAGUGAGGCUUGUGCCAGCUACAAGACCAUCUCAGCAAUCCGAAGAGCCUUCUACUGCUGAUAUAGAAACUGAGUCAAAGGCAAAUCUUGAGCUAUCUAGUGCUGAUGUUUUGCCAGGCUCAUCCUCAGAUCCAAUAUUGAGUCAGCACGUAAGUAGAAAAACUUCUGAAUUGCACGAAAUUGAAGAGAUCGAUGUGAAACAGAAAGCACCAGAGACUGAGGAAUUAUUGGCACCAUCUGAAUCCACCCAAUUUAAAAUGAUUGAAAGCAGCAUCAGUUGGAACCCAGAACUCGAAUAUAGGGGAUUGGAUCAUGCAGAUUCAUUGGGCUUGAUACUAAUCAGUGCCAGAGCAAGGUACCUUAUAAAUUGGUUGGUAAAUGCAUUAAUGAGUCUUCAACAUCCACAUUCAGAAAAUGGGCAACCCCCAAUUAGCAUCUAUGGGCCAAAGAUAAAGUUUGAGAGAGGACCAGCAGUGGCAUUCAAUGUAUUUGAUUGGAAAGGAGACAAAAUUGAUCCUGCACUAGUACAGAAACUUGCUGAUAGAAACAACAUUUCUUUAAGUUAUGGAUUUUUGCACAAGAUUUGGCUCCCAGACAAGCAUGAAGAAGAGCGGAGGUGGACAUUGGAGACAAGAACAAGUGGAGGAGGAUCAAUCUUAAAUGAGAAGAGAGAUAAACCACAUUCUGGAAUUUCUGUUGUCACAGCUGCUCUUGGAUUCUUGACAAAUUUUGAGGAUGUUUACAGGCUUUGGGCAUUUGUUUCGCGAUUCCUGGACGCAGACUUUGUCGAAAAAGAGAGAUGGAGAUACAAAGCUCUCGAUCAGAAGAUAGUUGAAGUUUAGUUUACACUCAAUUCUUAUAUUCUUUCAUAUCAUUAGGAUCAAUUAUUUUU